GAGGUGGCGGUGGAUGGUCUGGAGGUGGUGGUGGAUGGUCUGGAGGUGGCGGUGGAGGCUGGUGGUAAAAGUAUACGCGGUAUCUACUAAUCGAUUCGAAAUCAUCGGUUUUCUCAAGAUCAUAAGUGCACUUAAUCGACCGGAUGGAUUUCAACACGCCGUCGUUGCCGAAGAAACGUUCCCAAUCUCCUCCUUUCGAAAUUUUUGAGAGAAACAUCCAAUAUUAUAAAUCCAAUAUUAUAAAAAGAGGACGUGAAUUAAGCAAGUACCGAAAUGAUUUAAGAAAACGAAGAAACCGAAGAAUUAUUUGCAAAUUUCUGUUAUGUCUAUAGAAGUUUCAAAAAAAGGAAAAAAUUGAAGAAACAUUUCGAAAGAAGUAACACGUCGGAUCGUUUGAAAAGAUACCAGCAGAGUAUUCGAAGAUUGGAUUUGCUUUCUUUGUUACAAAAGAAAGAGAGCGAAAGAGAAAGAAGAGAGAAAGAAACCAGUGGACAACGAAGAUCGUCACGUUCUUCGAUGAUGAGAAAAGAACGAUACCUUCGAUGGCAUACCAUUAUCGAUUCUCACUCUUCUUCGAGAUAAAAAUUCUAGAGAUCUUUAAGAAUAGAAUCAGUCUCUAUUUUCGAGCGUUGUUAUCCGAACUGAUAAGAACGAGAAAGGAGGGAGAAGAGGACAGUCUCUUCGUGAUAACUACAUUUACGAUGAUACACCUCACACACCGCGUAUACCUAUAAUACUUAUCUCUACACCUACUCUUACCUAUGUACUCUUACCAAGAUAAAACGGGUAAAAUUUGUGAUAAAUGAGAACAAAGAAAAUUCUAUUGUGAUUCAACACAGUGCCGAGAAUUUAGUGAACUCGUUCGCGGCACUUAGAUAUAUAUAUAUAUAUACAUACAUUCAUUCAUACAUACAUACAUAUAUAUAUAUUUUUGAUAAUCGAAAAAUAUUUCCGAAAAGUACAGAAAAAAAGGACCCUGCUAGCGACAGUAUAAAUAAACGACUCACGUCGGAAAAA